GACGAACGCUGGCGGCGUGCUUAACACAUGCAAGUCGAACGGAAAGGCCUUGCUUUUGUGGGGUGCUCGAGUGGCGAACGGGUGAGUAACACGUGAGUAACCUGCCCUUGACUUUGGGAUAACUUCAGGAAACUGGGGCUAACACCGGAUAGGAGCUCCUGCUGCAUGGUGGGGGUUGGAAAGUUUCGGCGGUUGGGGAUGGACUCGCGGCUUAUCAGCUUGUUGGUGGGGUAGUGGCUUACCAAGGCUUUGACGGGUAGCCGGCCUGAGAGGGUGACCGGCCACAUUGGGACUGAGAUACGGCCCAGACUCCUACGGGAGGCAGCAGUGGGGAAUAUUGCACAAUGGGCGGAAGCCUGAUGCAGCAACGCCGCGUGCGGGAUGACGGCCUUCGGGUUGUAAACCGCUUUCGCCUGUGACGAAGCGUGAGUGACGGUAAUGGGUAAAGGAGCACCGGCUAACUACGUG
rnacentral:rRNA from 1 species